CUGAAGUCAGUCGAAGAUACCAGCUGGCUGCAACUGUUUAUUAAAAACACAGCACUGUGCAAACACGAAAGUGGACGUAUACGGUGUGACGCCUGCCCGGUGCCGGAAGGUUAAUUGAUGGGGUCAGCGCAAGCGAAGCUCCUGAUCGAAGCCCCGGUAAACGGCGGCCGUAACUAUAACGGUCCUAAGGUAGCGAAAUUCCUUGUCGGGUAAGUUCCGACCUGCACGAAUGGCGUAAUGAUGGCCAGGCUGUCUCCACCCGAGACUCAGUGAAAUUGAACUCGCUGUGAAGAUGCAGUGUACCCGCGGCAAGACGGAAAGACCCCGUGAACCUUUACUAUAGCUUGACACUGAACAUUGAGCCUUGAUGUGUAGGAUAGGUGGGAGGCUUUGAAGUGUGGACGCCAGUCUGCAUGGAGCCGACCUUGAAAUACCACCCUUUAAUGUUUGAUGUUCUAACGUGGACCCGUAAUCCGGGUUGCGGACAGUGUCUGGUGGGUAGUUUGACUGGGGCGGUCUCCUCCUAAAGAGUAACGGAGGAGCACGAAGGUUGGCUAAUCCUGGUCGGACAUCAGGAGGUUAGUGCAAUGGCAUAAGCCAGCUUGACUGCGAGCGUGACGGCGCGAGCAGGUGCGAAAGCAGGUCAUAGUGAUCCGGUGGUUCUGAAUGGAAGGGCCAUCGCUCAACGGAUAAAAGGUACUCCGGGGAUAACAGGCUGAUACCGCCCAAGAGUUCAUAUCGACGGCGGUGUUUGGCACCUCGAUGUCGGCUCAUCACAUCCUGGGGCUGAAGUAGGUCCCAAGGGUAUGGCUGUUCGCCAUUUAAAGUGGUACGCGAGCUGGGUUUAGAACGUCGUGAGACAGUUCGGUCCCUAUCUGCCGUGGGCGCUGGAGAACUGAGGGGGGCUGCUCCUAGUACGAGAGGACCGGAGUGGACGCAUCACUGGUGUUCGGGUUGUCAUGCCAAUGGCACUGCCCGGUAGCUAAAUGCGGAAGAGAUAAGUGCUGAAAGCAUCUAAGCACGAAACUUGCCCCGAGAUGAGUUCUCCCUGAGACUUUAGGUCUCCUGAAGGAACGUUGAAGACGACGACGUUGAUAGGCCGGGUGUGUAAGCGCAGCGAUGCGUUGAGCUAACCGGUACUAAUGAACCGUGAGGCUUA
rnacentral:rRNA from 1 species